UACGGAGGGAGCUAGCGUUGUUCGGAUAUACUGGGCGUAAAGGGCGCGUAGGCGGCCUUCUAAGUCGGACGUGAAAUCCCUCGGCUCAACCGAGGAACUGCGUCCGAUACUGAAAGGCUUGAAUCCGGGAGAGGGAUGUGGAAUUCCAGGUGUAGCGGUGAAAUGCGUAGAUAUCUGGAGGAACACCGGUGGCGAAGGCGGCAUCCUGGACCGGCAUUGACGCUGAGGCGCGAAAGCUAGGGGAGCAAACGGG
rnacentral:rRNA from 1 species